AUUAUAAACCCCAUCUUUUAACAGGCAAAAAACAUCCUUUCUUUCUCCUUGCCAUUUCUUUGUCUGACUCUUUCUGAUUCUGAUACCUUGAGCACUUCCAAACUGGCCUUGUACUAAUAUUCCCACAAUUGUUCUCUCAUUAUGUAUCAAUCCAAUAUUUAAUCUUAAAAGGGUUCUCUCAGAUUGGUGUAAACUGAUAAGGGUUCUUCUCAGAUUGGUGUCUGGAGUUCAUUAGCUACAGUCUUGCAUAAAUUCAUGGUUCCCCUAUAGAUUCUCCUGACCUCGUAGUGGACACAAUCCUCAUCAACAAUAUUGGUGGGGCAACGGAAACUGGGGAGAGAAUCCUCAAAAUUCAUCAGUCAAAAAGCUUAGCAGAUCAAGUCUACAGUCCAGUCAGAAGAGAAGUUUCUAGUAGAUCAUCGUUUCUGAUGAAGUCUCUUGACAAAGAUGAUGAGACUGAUUUGGAAAAAGGAAAAUUUCUGGAGAAAGACCGAGAAAAGACAACAAGAAGCCAUAGAGCAAUUGCAGCUCACAACAAGGCAUUACUUUCUGGUCUUGCAUAUUGUAUCUCUUCAUGUUGCAUGAUACUGGUUAACAAGUAUGUCCUCUCCGGUUAUGGCUUUAAUGCUGGGAUUUCUUUGAUGCUAUACCAGAAUUUUGUUUCAGUGGUGGUUGUUUCUGUUUUGAGUUUCUUUGGUGUAAUAUCUACCGAACCACUCACAUGGAGACUGAUUAAGGUCUGGUUGCCUGUCAAUGUUAUAUUUGUUGGGAUGCUUAUUACAAGUAUGUUUAGUUUGAAGUACAUUAAUGUUGCAAUGGUCACAGUCCUGAAGAAUGUAACAAACGUGAUAACUGCUAUUGGUGAAAUGUAUCUUUUUAAUAAGCACCAUGACAACAGAGUUUGGGCUGCUCUUUUCCUAAUGGAAGUUCUCUUGUGCAGAUUAUUUCAGCAAUCUCUGGGGGGAUUACGGAUCUCUCCUUUCAUGCUGUUGGUUACACAUGGCAGAUCAUCAAUUGUUUCCUGACAGCAUCGUACUCUUUAACGUUGCGUAGGGUCAUGGACACAGCUAAGCAAGUCACCAAAUCAGGAGACUUGAACGAGUUCUCUAUGGUCCUGCUAAACAACACCCUUUCAAUACCUUUAGGGGUUUUGCUUAUAUUAAUAUUUAAUGAGGUGGAUUAUCUAUCUAAAACGCCACUUCUAAGAUUGCCCAUCUUCUGGUUGGUAAUGACGUUAAGUGGACUUUUGGGGUUAGCAAUCAGUUUUACUUCCAUGUGGUUUCUCCAUCAAACAGGGGCUACAACCUACAGCCUGGUGGGUUCACUCAAUAAAAUUCCCCUGUCUGUUGCUGGCAUUCUUCUUUUCCAUGUUCCAACCAGUCUAGAGAAUUCUGCGAGCAUAUUUUUUGGCUUGCUUGCGGGAGUGUUUUUCGCCAGAGCUAAGAUGCGGGAGAGGUCUUAGUCCUGAAACCUUUAAAAGCACUUCCUUUUGGAAACCUGUCCCACCCAGGAGAAAUUUCGCUUCCAUUUCUAAGUUCCUGCCUAUCAACUCAGAUGGUCGCAAAAACAGUUUCUGUUGAUGAGUAUCUUUUCGUUUUUGUAUAAUUUGGCACAUCAUAAGAAAUGCACGGCUGCUGAUUAUUUAGCUUCCCGUGUUUGUUGUUGUAGGAAAUGUCUAUUUUUGCUAGUGUUAUUAGAAACACCUAGCCCAGAAAUCAGAGAGAUUGAUGAUAAACCACAAGUUUAAGUACUAAUGGUAUCUCUUUCGCACUGUGUUUGCUCUUUU